rnacentral:rRNA from 1 species
AACGAACGCUGGCGGCAUGCCUAACACAUGCCAGUCGAACGAUGCUUUCGGGCAUAGUGGCGCACGGGUGCGUAACGCGUGGGAAUCUGCCCUGGGGUUCGGGAUAACAGCGGGAAACUGCUGCUAAUACCGGAUGAUAUCGCGAGAUCAAAGAUUUAUCGCCCUGGGAUGAGCCCGCGUCGGAUUAGGUAGUUGGUGGGGUAAGAGCCUACCAAGCCGACGAUCCGUAGCUGGUCUGAGAGGAUGAUCAGCCACACUGGGACUGAGACACGGCCCAGACUCCUACGGGAGGCAGCAGUGGGGAAUAUUGGACAAUGGGCGCAAGCCUGAUCCAGCAAUGCCGCGUGAGUGAUGAAGGCCUUAGGGUUGUAAAGCUCUUUUACCCGGGAUGAUAAUGACAGUACCGGGAGAAUAAGCCCCGGCUAACUCCGUG